rnacentral:rRNA from 1 species
UACGUAGGGUGCGAGCGCUAAUCGGAAUUACUGGGCGUAAAGCGUGCGCAGGCGGUUCGUUGUGUCGGCGGUGAAAGCCCCGGGCUUAACCUGGGAAUGGCCGUUGAAACUGGCGAACUGGAGUGUGGCAGAGGGGGGUGGAAUUCCGCGUGUAGCAGUGAAAUGCGUAGAGAUGCGGAGGAACACCGAUGGCGAAGGCAGCCCCCUGGGCUGACACUGACGCUCAGGCACGAAAGCGUGGGGAGCAAACAGG